rnacentral:lncRNA from 1 species
UUCUGCUUGUUUUGCUCUUGCUGUAGAGCUACAAGUUCCCUUUGCUCCCCAGCACUGCCAGUACUUUCACAAAGUUUAGUUUUGUGUAUCAUCAAAGGGUAUUUCUUGGAACAGGAGAACUUAGCUAGAAGACAGCGUACAUUACAGGGGAGAAUGGAGUUUUAGGAAGAAUUCACUUGGCUUUUUCAAAUUCCAGGAAGAACCUGACACUGCAGAACAAACAGUUUGCAAGAAGGAAAUGUUUCAUGUAGACAUUGAAGAAUAACUUUGUGACCCUAUGGGUUAUCUUUCCGAGCAGCCAGACAGACAUGCGAGAUGAUGACAGAGAGACUUUCAGUCUCCGUGCCCACGUGAUGCUUGGAAGGUAUACAUUAUCUCUUGUUUAAAUGAGUUUUCUCUCUUUUUAGCACUAGCACUACGGGGUAUUUUCCACUGUUUUACCUCUUGAGCCAUCGUUCUGCUGCAUGGUGUUAAUUUCACUCCAGGCUCUAUUGGAAAGUGAUUACGUGAGAGGGAUUUGGUUACACUGGGCUUCAGCAGAGGCAAUACCAGAUGUUCAAGAAAUGUUUUCAACAUAACAUCUGAGUAUUUCUUUAACAAUUGUUUACCAGCCCCCAUGGCUAAUGCUUUGAGUUGGCUGAUCUUAUUCUGUAGCCUUAGGAUCUUCCUGACAGGGACCUCUUCCCCCUCACCAGAGAGCAAUGUAGACUGCCAGACCCAGUGUCUCAUAGACUGCAAGCAGGGACAUUACUACACAGCUGGCAACUGCUUGGAAUGUCCUACAGGCUUCUAGUAAGUCUCCUUCCUUCCCUCUCUCUCAGAGCUUCUGCAAUAAGCAAGUU